GGUCUUUCCUGCAUGGUGCACAGUCACAAAGCAUCCUGCCCUGCACCAAACGGCAAACUAGUCUCAACUAAUGAUCACACGAGACACUGCGACCUCUGGUUCCUAUUACCACCACUAAAAGGCUGGAGAAAAUCCAUGUCGCUCUCAUUCAAAAAGCACCUAGAGUCGAAAUACUGCUUUGAACUUCGAUGAGUCGGCGGGGCUAAACUGCUGUAGGCUGAUAAGAGUUGAGUGCAAUGAUGAUGAGGAAAGAGUGGUCAACAAAUAAUUCGACAGGGGUGUUUAUAGCUCCCGAUAACUGCUCGGCUGUAGACAGUCCUGGAUUUCGACAGUUUUCUAGGACCUACUGAGCCACGCUGGACAAUCCCCUCAAGACAUUUCUGUUCAUUUUUAUUAUUAUGAGCCGUAAUAAGACACGUUUGCCAAACGCAUGUCACUGUUGUCGGAAGAAAACCUUGUAUCUCCAUUUUUUACGUUUUUACGUUUUUGCAAUAAUUUGAAAAUGCCUGUUGCUCUGUACAUUGUGUGUGAAUUUCAUGAUGAAUGGACCAAAAGAAACGGCCCAAAAAGACUUGGAUGAAAUUCUGGUUCCAUUGACUCACAUUAAAAGUAAAGUAGGUGUUUUCCUUCUCCUGUAAAGUUACCAUUUUGGAGAUACGAGGUUUUGUUCCGACAACAGCGAUACGUAAUGUACAUCCAGCACUUUUAUUUAUAUUAUGUUUUAUUGACUGUCUUCUAAGGAAACGCCUUAUGUCAGUUAUCUCUUCAACACGCACUGCUGUCUUUUACAGGAAAAAAAAAUCAGACGUAUAGAAAAUAAAUAAAUAAAUCUAAAAGUUUGCACACUUUUCUAAUUGUGCAUUGAAAAUGUAAAGUUUUUGUCAAUAAAACAGCAAAACAUACUGUAUCAGGAAAUUUGCGUGACGUUGCAAUCCUAGUGUGUAUAACUAACAGU